UCCAGGUGGCCAGUUAGUUAUUUCAACCA
rnacentral:piRNA from 1 species